AGAGACUGGAGGGACGGACCUGCAGGAGCCAGGGCUGCCCGCCGAGCUGCAGUUGCCGCUACUGCCGCUGUCAGCGCCCGACUGAAGAGUGACAGCCGCAAAAGCAGGAGUGAGCACCGAACCCCGCGCUUCUACCUAACAGGUGCAUGCGCCGAUCUGAUCUCAGGUAACCAUUCAUGAGCCUGAGGCUGUGAGAAAUGCUCGCUGUGCAAAGGGGAACUCUCACCAGAUUUUCUGAAACUGUUCUAGAAAUACACUUUUCGGAUUGAUUCAGCAUUACCAGCUUAUCCAACAAAAGUAUUAACAUAUACAUUAACAACGUCGAAAGUAGCCUACUUUAAGAGAAAAUAUGCAGAAGAAGAAGAUUUACAUCAAGAUUACCAUGGGUAUUUUCCAAAACACCUGAUAUUACCUGAGGACAGAACUUGCAUUCUCAAACUUUCUCUGGAGAAGCUCAGGUUUCUUGAAGACCCAGAAACCUACUUAAGAAGGUCUGUGUUAAUUAACAAUUUGCUGAGGAAGAUACAUCUAGAGACGGAGAAAGAGAGCUAUGAAUACUUUAAAGAAGCUCCCUGUUAUAAGACUGCAUAUUCUGAUACAAGAAAACGGCUGAAGUUUAUGGUACAGGAAUGCUGUUCUCAGUCUCUCUAUUAUGAAGAGCUGCAUUCGUAUCAUAUUGUGCCUUAUGCUUCGGAGAAUGCCAUUUAUGAAAUGGGCUACACUAGCAGCCACUUGGAGCAAAAUUCUCAGUUGCUUAUUUAUAAAAUGAAUUAAAGUAACUGUUAAGUCCAUUGAUACUUUGUUUCUAAAUGCUUGAACUGUUUAUAGUGAAGAUGUUAAUAUAAGGCACUCAUUACCAGUGCACUUGAUAUCAAAGAUGAGAUGCAUGCUGAACUGAUUGGAGAGAGCAAUGGUUAUUACUCAGCAGUCCUUAGAAUCAUCAAAUUGAAUAGAAAAUAUGUUCACAUAUGAUAAAGCGGUCAAUUAGUGCUUUAGAAGCAAAGAUUUUUUUUAAACAUAAGAUGUGUAGGAAGGGGCCUACGUUAAACAAUUACACAGAUGAAAAAUUUUCUUUUAUGCCUUGAUUUCCAAAUUCUGCCACUCUUACUGGAAAGUAAUGAAAGUAACAGAUUAAAUUGAUAAUGCCAUGUCCCUGAGGAUGAAGGGUGGAACACAUUUAAUUUUCUGUAAAUGAUAUGAGGAAGGGCUGGUUCUUUCUGAAGUGCUUUGACUUGUCAAGCAUUGUGCCAAAUAAUUGACACCAUUCUCCUUUUACCAUUAGUAGCAAUUCGAGAUGGGGCAAAGACACUGCAACUAAACUGCUGAAUGUAACAACCAGAUUACUCCAAACUGAUCCAUUGUACUAUUUUGCGGGGAGGGCUUAGACUUUUCUCUUUAAAAGUGAAUUUUAACGAAAUAGCCUUGCAGAUGGGCUUAUCUAUAAGUUCUACAGGUUGGUUAAAAUUUGUGGUGGGCCUUUAGUUAGCCGUUUACAUUUUAUUUGUUUUUUUUUAUAGGCUGUGAAGCUCAGGAAAAGGGUAGGC
rnacentral:lncRNA from 1 species